GACGAACCGUGCGAACGUUGUUCGGAAUCACUGGGCUUAAAGGGCGCGUAGGCGGGCUGUCAAGUCUGGGGUGAAAUGCUGCGGCUCAACCGUAGAACUGCCUUAGAUACUGACGGCCUCGAGGAAGGUAGGGGCAUGCGGAACUGUAGGUGGAGCGGUGAAAUGAGUUGAUAUCUACAGGAACUCCGGUGGCGAAAGCGGCGUGCUGGACCUUUUCUGACGCUGGAGGCGACGAAAGCUAGGGGAGCAAACGGG
rnacentral:rRNA from 1 species